rnacentral:rRNA from 1 species
AUUGAACGCUGGCGGCAGGCCUAACACAUGCAAGUCGAACGGUAACAGGAAGCAGCUUGCUGCUUUGCUGACGAGUGGCGGACGGGUGAGUAAUGUCUGGGAAACUGCCCGAUGGAGGGGGAUAACUACUGGAAACGGUAACUAAUACCGCAUAACGUCGCAAGACCAAAGAGGGGGACCUUAGGGCCUCUUGCCAUCGGAUGUGCCCAGAUGGGAUUAGCUAGUAGGUGGGGUAACGGCUCACCUAGGCGACGAUCCCUAGCUGGUCUGAGAGGAUGACCAGCCACACUGGAACUGAGACACGGUCCAGACUCCUACGGGAGGCAGCAGUGGGGAAUAUUGCACAAUGGGCGCAAGCCUGAUGCAGCCAUGCCGCGUGUAUGAAGAAGGCCUUCGGGUUGUAAAGUACUUUCAGCGGGGAGGAAGGGAGUAAAGUUAAUACCUUUGCUCAUUGACGUUACCCGCAGAAGAAGCACCGGCUAACUCCGUG